CAGUUGCUGAGUUGUAGUGCUUCUAAUUGACGCAGGUGCACAUGCGUGCUGCUUAGGAUAUAUGGUCUGCUUCUGGACAGCAAGCAAUUGGAUUAGGAACCCGAAGAUGGCGCUCUCAUGCUUGAGACCCUUUGGCCAGAUCUUCCGCCUAGGGCCAAGGGAUACUACACCGGCCUUGACGUCUUCCGCAAGGAGGCCCAGAAUUGUGUCUGCCUCCAGGGUGAUGGUCCUGGUUCGUGAAGGACUCAAUCAUAGCA